rnacentral:lncRNA from 1 species
GAGGGCCUGGGCCGCGUCUCCCUCCAGAAGGACAGACGACGGCUGGCGGCGUUCGAAGGCCCAGGAGAAGAGUUCAUCGGGGCCUCGAUCUUUGUCAACGACACCGUGUUCUCUUCAGGGGGCGAGAUGGUCCAGGCACAGACCUCAGGGGUGAAGAUGGUCCAGACCCCCUAGGACACCGAGUUCACCAGGACGCUACAGCACUUCAAGCCGGGGAUGCCCUUCCACUUUAGGGUCAGGGUCCGGGCUCCCCCUGCCCAGGGUCUAGGCCUCCCUUCCCCAAA